CACCGCUCUGCUCCCCCAGGAACACCAGCUUGAAUUUCCUCAGCGGAUUCCCGAAGUCUCCGCCCGCGGACAUGAUGAAGCCGAAGGAGCUGCCGCCGCCUCAGCUCAGAGACCUCUCGGACCGACGCUGCACCAAUCGGCUAACGAAAAAGGUGAGAGGAAGGACCGGCGCCGAGCUCUCUUGGACCCUGCAGGGCCCGGCGGCGGAGCAAGACUGGAGGGCAGGACUCCUCCCCACAGACAGGCAGCCGUCGCCGCCGCCUCCCCGCAGAGUCGCCUUAGCACCGAGAGGCCCGCGGCUGGGAAAGGAAGGAUGGCGGUGUCGGAAGCAGCCAAGGGUGGGCUCUAAGUUACCAAGGCUAGCGCCGUUCCCUUCUCAGCACCCGGCACCGAGACUGGGGUGAGAGAAGAGGAAGGUGGCGGAACCGGAGCCGCAGACGCGUCUGGGACCUCUCACGCGCUGCGCCUCAGCUCCCACAGCUGUCGCCACCGCAGCCCAACCUGCU
rnacentral:lncRNA from 1 species